CCGGACGGGACGCGGCGGUGGCGUCACUACGGCGCGCGGCGAGGAACGAGCGCGAGGGGCGGGCGGCGGCGCCCCCUGGCGGCUGCGUGCUGCUGCGCGCCUCGUGCCCGCCUGAGGCGGCCGUCGGGUGGCGCGCCCGUCCGUCACAGACCGAACCUUCGCACUCGCGCUAUCGCUGAGUCCGUUACAGCCUGCCCUGCCGGCAGCGCCCCGUUCACCAACCGCAGCGUCCUAAGCCCAGCUGGACCUGAGUGGAAGAAACGUCUUCUUUCCCUCUUUUUGAAACAGAGGUUGGCAAAGUGCAGGCACGGCGUGGCUCGCUGCUUCUCCUGUCUCUGUAAGAUCCUGCCGUACUCCGGCAGCGAGCAAAGAACGGUGAUACGGUGGAGACCUUUGGUGGUGUGAUGGGCAAAUGCGACACCGAGCCGGUCUGUGAGGGCCGACACACAGUCUGUACCUGCAGGGCUGCUGUGGCUCCAUGGAAGCUGCCAGGGACUUCUGAUGAGGAAACUGCUACGUCUGUGGCAAGGAGUGGAAGGGGAGGGAUAUGGAGAGCUGCUUUGCAGGACGCAGUGAGCGAUGAACGGAAGAAAAGACACUGAAGUAAUCCCCACAGAAAGAGGAAUACAUGAAACAACCCUUUUCCCUUAUUUCCCAGGCAGCAGUAUUUCUAAAGACACAUACGGAUGCUUUCUAAAAACUGCAGUGACUACUUGGAGUGUGGGUACGAAAUCCUUCGACAGCACGAAGCUGCCUGGCAAGGCUGUGCACAGUGAAUGACUGAGAGCUCAGGGAAGCAGAAAGAGGGGAGAGCAGAGAGAGCUGCUGUUGGUGUGGGAGAAUGGGAAGCCAUUGAGACAUGAGAGAAACAUGCAGUAAAAGUCCUAACCUUGGAUAACCAAUGAUAACCUUGGAGUCACCAGCUUCACCGUGCUCAACUAAGAAGAAGAAACGUUAGUUUUGAAUGUUCCUCGCUGCAGUCCUGGCUCUGCACUCAUCUGUCGGCCAUGGGCUGCAGUGUAAUCACCCCUCUGUCAUUUCCCACAGCCCUGUGAUCUAUUGCUGCACAAGCAUCUUGCUGUGUUCACGUCCUCUACUGAAUAAUGGUGGCUUCAGUUUGGUGAUGCACGUUCUGCUCCACCAGCCUGUAACUGCAGCGCUAUCAGGAGGUGGGGCUGAUACAUCUGUCUAACUGUGUUUUCUGUUAAUAAUGCAGAUUGAACCUGCUUACUUAGUCAAACCAGUCGUCCUCACUUGCAAACGGAAGUACCCACCCAUGAUUUCUUCAGCUGCUGAGACUGCUUUUUUUUGGGGUUCUCCUUUGCUCACUCACACAAAGGACACACUUAUGGAGAGAACUUCAGAAACAAGAGCCAAAGCCCCAGUAUGGGGCACGAGACACUUACUGCAGGGGCUGUGCAGAACUCUUCUAUCAACAAACCAAACAACUGGAGAAGGUCCUGAGUGCUGUAGACUGAGUGUGGUUCUGGCAUACGGAGUGAGAAAUGAGAAAUGCAUGGAUCCUGUUUGCUUUGGAUGUUGCUUCAUAUGGGCCCAUCCGACAACGGACAGGGUGAUGACUCCAGGACAACCUGGAGAUGCCGGUCUCCUCUGGAAAAGCUUAGAAGAAACAGCAGCAGGCAUGGGAGUACCAUGGCUUUGCAACUGCA